rnacentral:rRNA from 1 species
CCUACGGGGGGCAGCAGUGGGGAAUAUUGGGCAAUGGAGGCAACUCUGACCCAGCAACGCCGCGUGAAUGAUGAAGGUCUUCGGAUUGUAAAGUUCUGUGAUGGGGGAUGAACACAAUGACGGUACCCCAAUAGCAAGCCACGGCUAACUACGUGCCAGCAGCCGCGGUAAUACGUAGGUGGCAAGCGUUAUCCGGAAUGACUGGGCGUAAAGGGUGCGUAGGUGGAAUGUAAAGUCAGGUGUUAAAGGCGCAGGCUCAACCUGUGUAUGGCACUUGAUACUUGCAAGCUGGAAUGCGGUAGAGGUAAAGGGAAUUCCUGGUGUAGCGGUGAAAUGCUUAGAUAUCAGGAGGAACAUCGGUGGCGUAAGCGCUUUACUGGGCCGUAAUUGACGCUGAGGAACGAAAGCCAGGGUAGCAAAUGGGAUUAGAUACCCCUGUAGUC